AAUGACCUAAUGAGAGCACAACAGUUGGCUCUCUCACUGAGUGCACUUGAAAAAUCGAAGAAAAAAAGCAAGGAGAAUGGAUCUCUUCUUCAUCCAACAUGAGGUCUGUGAUUUUCAUAUAAGCUCACCAUCCCUCAAAUCUUUACAAAAAAAAAAUCAGGCUAACAUUCAUACAUAACACAUAAAAUAAUCUCACCUCUCUCAAAAUAAAAAGGAAAAAAGAAUCAUCACCUUUUUCUCUUAAAAUCACACAAUAAAGAAGAUAAGUUUCC
rnacentral:lncRNA from 1 species